rnacentral:lncRNA from 12 species
UUGAGGUAGAAUUUGUUUUUCGGUUUUCUUGCAGUGGCAAUUCUGAGAUCUUUUCUCUACUUGCAACAUUGGUUUUCUUGUUUGCCUAUGAAAAUCUUUUUGCUUGGUAAAAGCAUCUUUUGUUUGAGGUGGAUUUAUCCAUUGCUCAUAAAACCCCCUUCAAAUUCCAUUUUACCCUUUGGUAACUUCUUAGUUACCCAGUAAAACUGGCUCAGCAAUUCUUUUUUUCUGUAUCAAAACCCGCUUUCAUUUCUAUUCCUUCUUCAGCUUCUACAUCCAAAGAUUUUUUUUGUUGUGCACAAAUAUCUGUGAGACUUUCCUGUCACAUCCUUAUCCUUCCCCCAGGAACCAGCCUUAAACUCGAUAUCCACCAGCAACAGAACAGACUGGGGGUACAAGGGUCAUAAAGGGGAUAUGAGGACCAUAAAGUCACCCCAGGAUUGGGGAUACAAAAAUCAUAGAGGGGAUAUGAGCAUCCUAAAGCCAUCCCAAGAUUGGGGAUAAAAUCAUCCUAAAGCCAUCCCAAGAUUGGGGACACAAACAUCACAAACCCACCCCAAGACUGGGGAUAAAAAAGCCACCCCAAGAAAUGGGAUGUGAGCAUCCUAAAGUCACCCCAAUAUUGGGGAUACAAAUAUCCCAAAGCCACCCCAGGACCAUUGUGCUCCCCUGGAGCUCCUGGCUGGGCUCCCCCAGGAUCAGGGCUCUGUGGGGUCUCUGUGGGAUGUUAUAUGGGAUGCUCUAUGGGAUGCUCUGUGGGAUGCUCUGUGGGAUGCUCUGUGGGAUGCUCUGUGGAUGCUCUGUGGGAUGCUCUAUGGGAUGCUCUAUGGGAUGCUCUGUAGGAUGCUCUGUUGGAUGAUCUGUGAGGUGCUAUAUGGGGUGCUCUGUUGGGUUUCUGUGGGGUCUCUGGGGGGGAUGACCCCGUCCCCCCGUGCUGACCUGCCCCGGGUGGGAUGGAUCCCAUCAUGCAGCCGUUCCAUGGCCCUGCACACACAGAGCUCUGCUCGGGCCCAUCUGCUUCCAGUUUCCCCAGGAACACGAGGAGACAUUGGGAACACACUUCCCUCCAUCCAGUUUCACUUGUUGGGAUGCCUGGAAUGCUUUGGAACCCACAUCUUUGGGGUUUCCAGGAGGGGGUUUGGCCGCAGAGCCCCGGCCACCAUUUCAGAUUUGGGUUUUUUAUUUUUAUUUUUUAUUCCAAAAUUGCCCUGGAGCUUGCAUUGUAGGGCCUUUUCCUUAUGCAAAACAUAAAAGUGCUGCUUUUUA